GGCGUCAUAGCUCAGCUGGGAGAGCAGCAGACUGAAGCGCCCUUGUCCGCAAUCUGAAGGUCCCGUGUUCAAGCCACGGUGAUGCCA